GGGGGAGGGGCGGGCAGCACAGGGCCUGGUCGGACCGGCACAAAAGGGACCGCGUCCCUCCCGCCCCAGCCCCACAAGAGCCCCACGGUCGCCGGCCUGGGGCCUCCGUGCCACCAAAACGAAGCCUCCCGGCCCUUCCGCUAUAGGACAGAUGUUAAGAACCCCGGGCGGCCGCCCAUCGCGCUCCAAUCAAGCGCUGACCAGACCUUCACCUGAGUCGGGUCCCGGCUAACACCGAAGCCAUUUCAAAACCCGUCAGCCUUAUGCGCAUGCGCCAACCUCCCCCUCUCGCUCCUCACCGCCUCCUUCCCAAUUUCCCAGAGGAACCACGCUUACGGCUUGACGUCCUACGUACGCGCUCUCCGACUCGCCCUGCAUAGGCUAGCCCUUUUGACUGCGCUGCUAGAACCAGAACGCGGUGAAGAAGGGUUACCUUGGCUCAGCUUAACAACGAGCGGGCUACGUCUGUGCGCUAUCUCUGAGGCAAAGGCUGACCAGAGGGGGUGGAAGGAAAGAAUCCGCGGUCACGUGAUCCGACGAGGGCCGACGCCAUUUUAUGAAUUUUUCUUUUCCUUUUUUUUUUUCUUUAACAGUACAUUUGGUUGGAGGAGUGGGGUCUUCUAUGUUGCUCAGGCUGGUCCCAAACUGCUGGGCUUAAGCGGUCCUCCUGCCUCAGCCUCCAGAGUUGGGACCACAGACAGACACAGGGUCUCACUGAGUUGCUUAGCGCAUUGCCAUUGCUGAAGCUGCCUUUGACCUUUCAAUUCUCCUGUCUCAGCCUGCAGAGCCACAGGGAUUACAGACCAAGCAAUUAAGCUGAGAACUGAAGCAAGCACCCAAGGUUCCAAGUUACUCUGGAGGCUUAAGUGGAAGGAUCCCAUGAGCCUUAGGAGUUGGAGACCAGCCUGGGAAACAAAGGUGAGACCAUGUCACAACAAAACCUAAACCAAAACACGGAAGGGCAUGAAAUUUUGUGUACCUGUAAUCCUAAUGAAUCAGGAGGCUAAAGCAGGAGGAUUGAACAACUGAACAUUUGAAGCCAGCCUCAGUAAUGUAACCCAGUGGUAAAGUGCCCCUGGGUUCAAUCUCCAGUGCCAAAAAAAGACCUAUGGCCAAAGAGGAAGUUCAUCAUACUAAUAUAUCCACAGUGUUUCUAAAGAUCACAGAAUCAAAAGCAUGACAACAGGGGCUGGGGUUAUAGUAGAGACUGGUCUGGCACUGGGUUCGGUUCUCAGCACCACAUGUAAAUAAAUAAAUAAGUGGGGUGCGAGAGCCUCGGAAGACUAAGACAGGAGGAUCGUGAAUUCAAAGCCAACUUCAGCAAGAGUUGGGGCACUAAGCAACUCAGUGAGACCAUGUUUCUAAAUAAAAAUACAAAAUGGGGUCAGGCGCCAUAGUUCACACCUGUAAUCCCAGCAAACUCAAGAGGCUGAGGCGGUGGGAUGGCAAAUUCAAGGGCAGCCACAGGAAUUUAGCAAGACCCUAAACUACUUAGUGAUAUUCUAUUUCAAGGUAACAAUACAAAGGUCUAGGAAGUGGCUUUGUGGUAAAGUGUCCCUGGGUUUCCUCUCCAGUACCAAAAAGUAAAAUAAAUAAUAAAUAAAAGGGACUGGGAAUGUAGCUCAGUGGUAGAGCACAUGCCAAGCAGGCAAGGCUUGCAGAAUGGGGUUAACUCACAGCACAGCAAACAACCAACGAACCAAAACAGUAGGAGGUUUAUUUUUAAAUAUUAUUACAAGGAAUAAAGGAAAAAGUGGAUAGUCCUUUAUCAUCCUCAAAUUUUGUUUUAUUUUGGGUUCAUAGAUCUGACCCAGGAAAUCCUAAGACCCACUGGUUGAUUUAGUGACUGCAGAUAGUUCCAGAAAGCUUUAUAUGUGCUGGGUGUGGUGACACAUGCCUGUAAUCCCAGCAACUCUGGAGGCUGAGGCAGGAAGAUCAAGAGUUCAAAGCCGGUGCAUCUUAUUUAAAAUUUCCCCCCCGGAAAUCACUCUCCUGUUUACUAUUUCCAGAGCUCUAGUUUUAGGCAGCGUGUGGUGUCUCAGGCCAGAGCGGCAUUAGGGGUUGAUUUUAUUACCAGGUUACCUAGAACCAGGUUGGAGGGUCUGCUUCCUGCUGCCGCUCUGCAGCCUGGACCUGUGGACCCUGGUUGUAAAGAGUAAAAUGUAUCUUAGGAAACCAGUGUCACCUUUUUUCCCACCUUUUAAUUUUAUAUUAUUUGUGUCAUACAUUUCCUGUAAUGGAAGUGUUAAUUUUACUGUACUUUUUGGUACCUUUUGGGAAUCUAAUGUAUUGUAAGGUAUUUUACACGUGUCCUGAUUUUGCCACGACCUGGAUAUUGAAGCUAUCCAAGCUUUUGAAAUAAAAAUUUUAACCCCCCCCCCUGAAAAAAAAAAAAG